AAUAGAUACCCAGGUAGUCCACGCCGUAAACGAUGAGUGCUAAGUGUUAGAGGGUUUCCGCCCUUUAGUGCUGCAGCUAACGCAUUAAGCACUCCGCCUGGGGAGUACGGCCGCAAGGCUGAAACUCAAAGGAAUUGACGGGGGCCCGCACAAGCGGUGGAGCAUGUGGUUUAAUUCGAAGCAACGCGAAGAACCUUACCAGGUCUUGACAUCCUCUGCCACUCCUAGAGAUAGGACGUUCCCCUUCGGGGGACAGAGUGACAGGUGGUGCAUGGUUGUCGUCAGCUCGUGUCGUGAGAUGUUGGGUUAAGUCCCGCAACGAGCGCAACCCUUGUUCUUAGUUGCCAGCAUUCAGUUGGGCACUCUAAGGAGACUGCCGGUGACAAACCGGAGGAAGGUGGGGAUGACGUCAAAUCAUCAUGCCCCUUAUGACCUGGGCUACACACGUGCUACAAUGGAUGGUACAAAGGGCUGCGAAACCGCGAGGUUAAGCCAAUCCCAUAAAAACCAUUCUCAGUUCGGAUUGUAGGCUGCUAA
rnacentral:rRNA from 1 species